AUUCCAGCUCCAAUAGCGUAUAUUAAAGUUGUUGCGGUUAAAAAGCUCGUAGUUGGAUUUCUGCCGAGGACGACCGGUCCGCCCUCUGGGUGAGUAUCUGGCUCGGCCUGGGCAUCUUCUUGGAGAACGUAUCUGCACUUGACUGUGUGGUGCGGUAUCCAGGACUUUUACUUUGAGGAAAUUAGAGUGUUUCAAGCAGGCUUACGCCUUGAAUACAUUAGCAUGGAAUAAUAAGAUAGGACCUCGGUUCUAUUUUGUUGGUUUUCGGGACUCGACAUAAUGAUAAAUAGGGACAGUCGGGGGCAUUUGUAUUCAAACGACAGAGGUGAAAUUCUUGGACCGUUUGAAGACAAACUACUGCGAAAGCAUUGCCAAGAAUGUUUUCAUCA
rnacentral:rRNA from 1 species